rnacentral:rRNA from 1 species
CCCUUAGAUGUUCUGGGCCGCACGCGCGCUACACUGACGAUGGCAACGAGUUUUUCCUUCGCCGAAAGGUGUGGGUAAUCUUUUGAAACAUCGUCGUGCUGGGGAUAGAUCAUUGCAAUUUUUGAUCUUGAACGAGGAAUUCCUAGUAAGCGCGAGUCAUCAGCUCGCGUUGAUUACGUCCCUGCCCUUUGUACACACCGCCCGUCGCUACUACCGAUUGAAUGGUUUAGUGAGGACUCCUGAUUGGCGCCGCCGCCCCGGCAACGGAGCAGCGGACUGCCGAAAAGUUGUUCAUACUUGAUCAUUUAGAGGAAGUAAAAGUCGUAACA